UACAGAGGGUGCAAGCGUUAAUCGGAAUUACUGGGCGUAAAGCGCGCGUAGGUGGUUCGUUAAGUUGGAUGUGAAAUCCCCGGGCUUAACCUGGGAAUGGCAUUUGGGACUGCAAGGCUUGAGUGCGGCAGAGGAGACUGGAAUUCCUGGUGUAGCAGUGAAAUGCGUAGAUAUCAGGAGGAACACCGAUGGCGAAGGCAGGUCUCUGGGCUGACACUGACGCUCAUGCACGAAAGCGUGGGGAGCAAACAGG
rnacentral:rRNA from 1 species